AAACCAACUGGGAUUACCUUAGUAACGGCGAGUGAAGCGGUAAAAGCUCAAAUUUGAAAUCUGGUACUUUCAGUGCCCGAGUUGUAAUUUGUAGAAUUUGUCUUUGAUUAGGUCCUUGUCUAUGUUCCUUGGAACAGGACGUCAUAGAGGGUGAGAAUCCCGUUUGGCGAGGAUACCUUUUCUCUGUAAGACUUUUUCGAAGAGUCGAGUUGUUUGGGAAUGCAGCUCAAAGUGGGUGGUAAAUUCCAUCUAAAGCUAAAUAUUGGCGAGAGACCGAUAGCGAACAAGUACAGUGAUGGAAAGAUGAAAAGAACUUUGAAAAGAGAGUGAAAAAGUACGUGAAAUUGUUGAAAGGGAAGGGCAUUUGAUCAGACAUGGUGUUUUUGCAUGCACUCGCCUCUCGUGGGCUUGGGCCUCUCAAAAAUUUCACAGGGCCAACAUCAAUUUUGGCGGCAGGAAAAAUCUUUGGAAUGUAGCUACCUCGGUAUGUUAUAGCCUUUUGAAAUACUGUCAGCUGGGA
rnacentral:rRNA from 1 species